GCUGACGUGGUGAAAUUGGCAGACACGCAGGUCUCAGAAGCCUGUAGGAGUAAUUUCCUGUACCGGUUCAAGUCCGGUCGCCAGCA
rnacentral:tRNA from 1 species